rnacentral:pre_miRNA from 2 species
UUCAAGUAAUCCAGGAUAGGCUGUUACCAGGCAGCACGGCCUAUUCUUGAUUACUUGUUUC